rnacentral:rRNA from 1 species
UCUACAGGCUUAACACAUGCAAGUCGAGGGGCAGCAUGGUCUUAUCUUGCUAAGGCCGAUGGCGACCGGCGCACGGGUGAGUAACACGUAUCCAACCUGCCGUCUACUCUUGGACAGCCUCCUGAAAGGAAGAUUAAUACAAGAUGGCAUCAUGAGUCCGCAUGUUCACAUGAUUAAAGGUAUUCCGGUAGACGAUGGGGAUGCGUUCCAUUAGAUAGUAGGCGGGGUAACGGCCCACCUAGUCUUCGAUGGAUAGGGGUUCUGAGAGGAAGGUCCCCCACAUUGGAACUGAGACACGGUCCAAACUCCUACGGGAGGCAGCAGUGAGGAAUAUUGGUCAAUGGGCGAGAGCCUGAACCAGCCAAGUAGCGUGAAGGAUGACUGCCCUAUGGGUUGUAAACUUCUUUUAUAAAGGAAUAAAGUCGGGUAUGGAUACCCGUUUGCAUGUACUUUAUGAAUAAGGAUCGGCUAACUCCGUGCCAGCAGCCGCGGUAAUACGGAGGAUCCGAGCGUUAUCCGGAUUUAUUGGGUUUAAAGGGAGCGUAGAUGGAUGUUUAAGUCAGUUGUGAAAGUUUGCGGCUCAACCGUAAAAUUGCAGUUGAUACUGGAUAUCUUGAGUGCAGUUGAGGCAGGCGGAAUUCGUGGUGUAGCGGCGAAAUGCUUAGAUAUCACGAAGAACUCCGAUUGCGAAGGCAGCCUGCUAAGCUGCAACUGACAUUGAGGCUCGAAAGUGUGGGUAUCAAACAGGAUUAGAUACCCUGGUAGUCCACACGGUAAACGAUGAAUACUCGCUGUUUGCGAUAUACUGCAAGCGGCCAAGCGAAAGCGUUAAGUAUUCCACCUGGGGAGUACGCCGGCAACGGUGAAACUCAAAGGAAUUGACGGGGGCCCGCACAAGCGGAGGAACAUGUGGUUUAAUUCGAUGAUACGCGAGGAACCUUACCCGGGCUUAAAUUGCAGAUGAAUUAUGGUGAAAGCGGUAAGUCGCAAGGCAUAUGUGAAGGUGCUGCAUGGUUGUCGUCAGCUCGUGCCGUGAGGUGUCGGCUUAAGUGCCAUAACGAGCGCAACCCUUGUUGUCAGUUACUAACAGGUUACGCUGAGGACUCUGACAAGACUGCCAUCGUAAGAUGUGAGGAAGGUGGGGAUGACGUCAAAUCAGCACGGCCCUUACGUCCGGGGCUACACACGUGUUACAAUGGGGGGUACAGAGGGCCGCUACCACGCGAGUGGAUGCCAAUCCCCAAAACCUCUCUCAGUUCGGAUUGGAGUCUGCAACCCGACUUCACGAAGCUGGAUUCGCUAGUAAUCGCGCAUCAGCCACGGCGCGGUGAAUACGUUCCCGGGCCUUGUACACACCGCCCGUCAAGCCAUGGGAGCCGGGGGUACCUGAAGUGCGUAACCGCGAGGAGCGCCCUAGGGUAAAACUGGUGACUGGGGCUAAG